CCCUACGGGGGGCAGCAGUGAGGAAUAUUGGUCAAUGGGCGGUAGCCUGAACCAGCCAAGUAGCGUGAAGGAUGAAGGUUCUAUGGAUUGUAAACUUCUUUUAUAAAGGAAUAAAGUGAGGCACGCGUGCCUUUUUGUAUGUACUUUAUGAAUAAGGAUCGGCUAACUCCGUGCCAGCAGCCGCGGUAAUACGGAGGAUCCGAGCGUUAUCCGGAUUUAUUGGGUUUAAAGGGUGCGUAGGCGGAAUAUCAAGUCAGCGGUAAAAAUUCGGGGCUCAACCCCGUCGUGCCGUUGAAACUGAUGUU
rnacentral:rRNA from 1 species